rnacentral:rRNA from 1 species
GACGAACGCUGGCGGCGUGCCUAAUACAUGCAAGUCGAACGCAGUGGGGACGGGUGAGUAACACGUGGGUAACCUCCCAUCAGAGGGGAUAACACUUGGAAACAGGUGCUAAACCGAUACUGAUGGAUGGGCCCGCGGUGCAUUAGCUAGUUGGGGAGGUAACGGUCCACCAAGGCCACGAUGCAUAGCCAACCUGAGCGGGUGAGUGGCCACGAUGGGACGAGGACAGGGCCCGGACUCCUACGGGAGGCAGCAGUAGGGAAUCUUCGGCAAUGGACGAAAGUCUGACCGAGCAACGCCGCGUGAGUGAAGAAGGUUUUCGGAUCGUAAAACUUUGUUGUUAGAGAAGCGGUAUCUAACCAGAAAGCCACGGCUAACUACGUGCCAGCAGCCGCGGUAAUUC